CCGAUUUGGAAACUAGAAAAAGGAUCCAAGCCGGAUCCCAAUCCCUCCGCCUCCCACCUCUUCCGUACAAAUCCGGCGCCCGAUCCCAUCGAUCCCAGUGGUGAUUCCCCCACCUAACCUGUAGCUUCGAAGACGCCUCGCGCGAGGGAGCGGCGGCGAUAGCUGGCGCGAGGGAGCGUGCGGUGCCGGCGGCGACCUAACUUGUAGCAUUGAAUCCACCUCACGCGAGCGACCGGCGGCGAUAGCCGGCGCGAGGGAGCGCGCGGCACUGGCGGCGAUGACCCCACCUAACCUGUAGCUUUGAAUCCGCCUCAAGCUCUGGAUUCGAUUCGCUUCGUCACGAUGGAGGCCAGCGAUUCUCGUAAAAAAUGGCACCUGAUGAAGACGAUGAUGACCUGACUAGAUGGACUGUAUGUGUCGACACACAAAACUCCCCCGUGCAGAAUGACCCAAGUUUAUGUGUUAAAGCAGUGGUGGUGCAAACUGCAAGGUAUCCACCACAGGCGCCAAUGAAUGAAAGAGUUACUAGACGCAAUUGCAAACAUGUGCCGCGCCUGAAGAACCAUCAACACCAAUCAAGCGUUUUGGAGACAAUCAAUGAGGUGGAUGAUGGACCUGCACAAGAUGAUGAUCACAUUGAAUGUUGGACUAAGAUUGUUCCUCAAGAUGACUGCGAGCGAGAACUCGAGCAAUUCUUUAUUCUAAGGCCUAAAACACGAUGUCCGUGAUAUCCACAAGCUCAAGAAGACCAGUCUGGACAGAGCGAUGAUAAGGCAGUAGCAGUUCGGUUAUAAAAGGCAGCGACAGUCAAGAGAAAAACUGGAGAAUGGGGAGGACAAGAAUCCAGCAAGGGAGAAGGGCAAAAAAGAAAGCCGGUGAUCAAGUGACCGUGUUCAGUGCUGCAUUAUGAUGCUCCUGCUUCAUCUUUUGUGUCUGUUUCGUCUUCCCGAGAAUAAAAACUUCCAAGGAAACAAGCAAUUAGAGUGAAAAGGAGAACUUAGAAAAGAAGUAGAGUGCCUAGGAGCUGAUUUGCAACAAGGUAGAGAGAUGGAUCAUGCUCAGUCUGUUGCUCAACUGAAUACCUUGACCACUGAACUAGCCACUUACAAUGAACAAGAAACAGAGACCACUACUCAAUUAGCUCUUGCCCCCAUGCUGCCAGCGGCGCGAUCCACGGUGCGUAGUUUGCCAAUGAUCAGUUUCAUGGAGAAGCUAGAGUUAGUUUCAGGGACUGGCUGCAGUUAUCUUGCGUCCAAAAAAUUUAAGUGAUGUACACAACUAUGAUUUUGCAAAGCCCCUGCUUGCCUGAGGUACAAAAAAUAGCAAUCUAAUGAGAGGGUUCAGUUUG